AUAAACGUCAAAAUAACACUUUUGUCAAAAGUGCUUUUUUUGUGCAUUUUGCUGCACUUCUCGCAGACAGUUGUACUUAUUGUCACAAGUUUCAAGAACUAAUCGAGGCUAUCUGGUCCAUCGGUUAAAAUUAUGGGUCAAUUAUAGAGAUACAGCAAAGGCUCAUUUUAAAGCAAGUUGAAGCGCAUGCAAAUAUGUACCAAAUUAGAUGUUACUGGUUACACAAGAUCUGUGAGUCCCUACGAUUGAACGAGAGAUAAAAAAACAUCCAAGGGGGUAGAGGGUGAUAUUUAAAAUUACCCUUCCUCUCCCCAACAAAUAUCACAUGUAUUUUUAGUUAUGAGAAAAAUUAUAAAUUUAUUGUUUUGAAUCUCACUCAAUCAAGCUUCAUGACACGAUAGGUUAGAUAGUGUACUUAUAUUAUGAAGUCGACUCUAGACAAAAAAAGAAUUCUACUGAGCUCGAUCCUGAAAAGUAAAGGAAACUAGUUUGGACCCAUUCUGCAAAACGAGUACCUCCUACACGAAGGACUGAAAAUAGAAGGACCGAAAGAAUUGGGAAGAAGAAGAAUGCAGAUGCGAUGGAAAAAAAAUAGAAAAUAGAUAAUACAGGGAACUGAAAGUCAAAGCACGGGCACAAGGCUUUAGUUGAGGAUUUGUGCAGAUAUUUGGAUUACUUAAAACGGCUAAACCGAUUUGGCCAGUCUUAGUCUUGAAAAAUUUGUGCCAAUCCAGAGAUGGUCGGAAAGGCUUUAGUUGAGGAUUUGUGCAGAUAUUUGGAUUACUCGAGCCUCGAAUAGAUCUAUUUACACUCGACAAUAUAACUUUGCCAUAAGAAUGAUGAAGGGUACACACUGCAAAUGCAAAUAAAUCAUAUUCUAAUAUUUAAAGAUAAUUUACUUAAAUCAGGACAAAUAUCAUAAGAGGCUUUAGUUGAGGAUUUGUGCAGAUAUUUGGAUUACUCGAGCCUCGAAUAGAUCUAUUUAUACUCGACAACAUAAUUUUGCCAUAAGGAUGAUGAAGGGUACACACUGCAAAUGCAAAUAAAUCACAUUCUAAUAAUUAAAGAUAAUUUACUUAAAUCAGAAGAAAUAUCAUAAGAGGCUUCAGUUGAGGAUUUGUGCAGAUAUUUGGAUUACUCGAACCUCGAAUAGAUCUAUUUACACUCGACAAUAUAACUUUGCCAUAAGAAUGAUGAAGGGUACACACUGCAAAUGC